rnacentral:rRNA from 1 species
UACGUAUGGAGCAAGCGUUAUCCGGAUUUACUGGGUGUAAAGGGAGCGUAGGCGGUAAGGCAAGUCUGAUGUGAAAGGCCAGGGCUCAACCCUGGGACUGCAUUGGAAACUGUUUAACUAGAGUGUCGGAGAGGCAAGUGGAAUUCCUAGUGUAGCGGUGAAAUGCGUAGAUAUUAGGAGGAACACCAGUGGCGAAGGCGGCUUGCUGGACGAUGACUGACGCUGAGGCUCGAAAGCGUGGGGAGCAAACAGG